rnacentral:rRNA from 1 species
UACGUAGGGUGCGAGCGUUAAUCGGAAUUACUGGGCGUAAAGCGUGCGCAGGCGGUUUUCCAAGACAGAUGUGAAAUCCCCGGGCUCAACCUGGGAAUGGCAUUUGUGACUGGAAGGCUAGAGUGUGUCAGAGGGGGGUAGAAUUCCACGUGUAGCAGUGAAAUGCGUAGAGAUGUGGAGGAAUACCGAUGGCGAAGGCAGCCCCCUGGGAUAACACUGACGCUCAUACACGAAAGCGUGGGGAGCAAACAGG